GCGGGACACGUGGUAUCCUGUCUGAAUAUGGGGGGACCAUCCUCCAAGGCUAAAUACUCCUGACUGACCGAUAGUGAACCAGUACCGUGAGGGAAAGGCGAAAAGAACCCCGGCGAGGGGAGUGAAAAAGAACCUGAAACCGUGUACGUACAAGCAGUGGGAGCCCCACCACUAAGCCAGUGGUGAACUCCACAUACGCAUCCUUUGCUGAGGAUACGGUUAACGGAGCGAAAGCGACGUUCAACCGCAAAAGAAGCAGAGGGGGCUUAGUGGUGGGGUGACUGCGUACCUUUUGUAUAAUGGGUCAGCGACUUAUAUUCUGUAGCAAGGUUAACCGUAUAGGGGAGCCGCAGGGAAACCGAGUCUUAAUUGGGCGUUAAGUUGCAGGGUAUAGACCCGAAACCCGGUGAUCUAGCCAUGGGCAGGUUGAAGGUUGGGUAACACUAACUGGAGGACCGAACCGACUAAUGUUGAAAAAUUAGCGGAUGACCUGUGGCUGGGGGUGAAAGGCCAAUCAAACCGGGAGAUAGCUGGUUCUUCUCCC
rnacentral:rRNA from 1 species